rnacentral:snRNA from 1 species
AUCACUUCUCGGCCUUUUGGCUAAGAUCAAGUGUAAAAAUACAGAAUCAUUAAACAUCAUCUAUAGUGUUUUUUUAGAAAAGCUUUGUUAAAAUUUACUUCUGGAUAAAAGUUGUACAUACCUGCACGUCCACUCUCUUGGUAAUAAUUUU